UAAAGAGCUCGUAGGUGGUUUGUCGCGUUGUUCGUGAAAUCUCACGGCUUAACUGUGAGCGUGCGGGCGAUACGGGCAGACUUGAGUACUGCAGGGGAGACUGGAAUUCCUGGUGUAGCGGUGGAAUGCGCAGAUAUCAGGAGGAACACCGGUGGCGAAGGCGGGUCUCUGGGCAGUAACUGACGCUGAGGAGCGAAAGCGUGGGGAGCGAACAGGAUUAGAUACCCUGGUAGUCCACGCCGUAAACGGUGGGUACUAGGUGUGGGUUUCCUUCCUUGGGAUCCGUGCCGUAGCUAACGCAUUAAGUACCCCGCCUGGGGAGUACGGCCGCAAGGCUAAAACUCAAAGAAAUUGACGGGGGCCCGCACAAGCGGCGGAGCAUGUGGAUUAAUUCGAUGCAACGCGAAGAACCUUACCUGGGUUUGACAUGCACAGGACGCCGGCAGAGAUGUCGGUUCCCUUGUGGCCUGUGUGCAGGUGGUGCAUGGCUGUCGUCAGCUCGUGUCGUGAGAUGUUGGGUUAAGUCCCGCAACGAGCGCAACCCUUGUCUCAUGUUGCCAGCGGGUAAUGCCGGGGACUCGUGAGAGACUGCCGGGGUCAACUCGGAGGAAGGUGGGGACGACGUCAAGUCAUCAUGCCCCUUAUGUCCAGGGCUUCACACAUGCUACAAUGGCCGGUACAAAGGGCUGCGAUGCCGCGAGGUUAAGCGAAUCCUUUUAAAGCCGGUCUCAGUUCGGAUCGGGGUCUGCAACUCGACCCCGUGAAGUCGGAGUCGCU
rnacentral:rRNA from 1 species